AGGACGAACGCUGGCGGCGUGCUUAACACAUGCAAGUGGAGCGACGAACCAGGGCUUGCCCUGGGGCAGAGCCGCGAACGGGUGAGUAACACGUGGGUUACCUGCCUCGAUGACCGGGACAACCCGAGGAAACUUGUGCUAAUACCGAAUACGCCCUUACGGGGAAAGAUUUAUUGCCGAAGGAACGGCCCGCGUCCGAUUAGCUAGUUGGUGAGGUAAUGGCUCACCAAGGCUACGAUCGGUAGCUGGUCUGAGAGGAUGACCAGCAUCACUGGGACUGAGACACGGCCCAGACUCCUACGGGAGGCAGCAGUGGGGAAUAUUGGACAAUGGGCGCAAGCCUGAUCCAGCCAUGCCGCGUGGAUGAUGAAGGCCUUAGGGUUGUAAAGUCUUUUAACGGGAAGAUAAUGACGGUACCCGUAGAAUAAGCCCCGGCUAACUUCGUGCCAACAGCCGC
rnacentral:rRNA from 1 species